CCUGUAAUUCAGUUAAAAAACCAUUAGUUUCUGUCUAAUAGAGAUAGUGACAAGCAUUAGUCUAGGAAUGGAUUGCUUUAAAGGCAGCAUUGUCAUCUCUGAUGCCCCAGGUGACAGCAAAAUCCUAGGGUUUAUUUCACAGGUGGUCACUAACUAGAAUUUCUUAAUCUGCCAUGAGGAAGCCUUCAAUAGGAAACCUAGAGGGGCGUUAUAUAAUCACCUCUAAUUUGGGUGAUACAGUUCUGUGUUGGUCUUUGAAAUAUAUCAGAUUAUUCUACACUUGAGACUGUGCAGGAGUCUAGCAGACAAUUUCUGUCCAGGGACAAUACCAGCUUUUUGUGUUCUUGAAGGAGGAUGAUAAAGCAAAAAAUCCAAAUACUGUUAAUGCUUGUUUAUCUUUCACUCAUUACAUAGAAGAGGAAACAAACUUACAUUGUAAGGCUUGAUUGUCUGACUUAAAAUAUCUAAAACAGAACAAAAAAGUAUACAAGUGAGUGGCUGUCCUGGGCUGACCUCUGUGAUGCUUGCAUCCCCAACUGUCCAUUCUGUUUAUGCUGGAUAUUAAGUUCUGCACCUUUAAGGGCGCGCAAGGCGAGCGCAAGGGGAGGGAAAAAACAAACACGCAGUUUGUUUUGAGAAACAGUGUUUGCCGGCACGCAGUCUGCUCUGGCCUGUGCUGUCUGCAGCGUCCUCAGACAACGGACAGCGCUCCUUUGCUUUCACUUUUUAGCUAGCUGAGACAGAGAAACUCCCUGGUGUUUUCCUUUUUCCUCGGAUCUUUCCAAGCCUGCUCUGGACUGCAAACCCAGACAAAGCCUGGGAGCUCCCAGCUGUGGCUCAGCGGGGCCUGGGCCUCGGCACUUUCCAGCGCCGGAGGGACCGAGAAGAGACUGAGCUGCAGCCCACGGCAAGGACUUUCUGAAUUUGCCGUCUCUUCCAACAGCGAGAGGUUUUAUUAAGCCUGAACUCACCAGGAGGCCUUGCUGUCUCCCUGAACAUGAUGUCCAGAAUGUGCCUGUCAUUUCCUGUGGCUCUGGUGAUGUCAACCCCAAAGAAAAUGUGUGAGUAUGUGCCCGUACACUCAAGCACCAGUGUACAAGCAAAGAAAUCCCUGGUGAAAGCUCUUUACAAACAAAGCAAAAAUGUGGACUAAAAGAUAAGCUGCAAAAGGAUGCUGCCUGGUCAAUGCACAAGCACAUACCAAUGGAGUUCUCCCUGGAGCACAGCUUGCACUUCUGCACCAUCGUGGCGCUUCCUCGGCCUCCUUUCAGGGGAGCACUGUCCUAAAAUGCAAGAUAAGAAAUGCAAGACAUUUUUAACCACUUCAUCUGAGCCACUGGAAACCUCUGCAAAGGUGAGGUAGUUUUUACAAUGAUCUUCAGCUUUUUUAAAAUACUGCAACAAGGCAGCUAUUCCUUUUAACUACAAAGAUUAAUAACUCAACACGCUGCAAUUAUCAAAGAGUAAUCUGUUCUAGAUUUUAAAUAGGAAAAAUAGAUACUUUUGUCUUAACCAUAUAAGCAUGCUCUACUAAUUCUUCAAAAGACAUUCUUACCAUUCAGCUGUAUGCUACAAAAAGGGAUGAUUAUUGUUAAGAACAGACAAGUAUCCCUAACAAAUUUUAUCCUGCUUCUUCAGCUUCCAAAUGUUGAUUUAGCAUGCUUACAUCAUCUUGAUUUACCUAACCUACUCCAAAAGGAUUCCAUCAGCAUCAGAGAACUAUGCUACAGGCAUAAUCUUAUUUUGAUACCACCUCAAAAUUUCUUUUGAAAUUAAAUAUUUACAGAAAAGUGUUUUCAAAAACAGGUGUAAUACUUUGUUACCAACGGUCAUCAUUGCCAAUAACAGUCUCCAAAUAUUUAUUUUAAUAUGGAACACGACAAUUUUCUACAUGCAUAUUGCUACUGAAAAACGAUCUCAUCUAGAGAGUAAGCUGUCACAUUCUUCAUGCGGAUACAUAUGUAAGAGGCAGGUUUCUCUGCUCAUUUUUGCUCAGAGGUAGGUUAUGAGGGGCACACGCACCAUCAGCCGCAGGUACUGCCACUUUUCAGAGACUUCACCGCAGUUCCCGCAUUUCAGCUGGAUAACACAAAUCGGAAGGUUGAAAGUAGUCAAUAAUCAGGGAUUUGCGCCGCUCCCAGCCCCGGCCCCUCGGCCCCGCACCUUGAGGUACCAUCGGAAGUCCUGGCCCUCGGCCCGCAGCCGGGUGAUGUUCUCCAGCGUGGCGCGGAGCUGCAGCCCGAUCCUCUGCAAGGCAAGCGGCGGAGCGCCGUCAGCCCCGGCCGGCCCGCCUCCCCCCUACCCUCAUGCAGGGCUCCGGCCAAAGCUCCCCUCUACUCCCAUGGCCCGCGGGGCACCGGCCAAAGCUCUCGCCUACCCCCAUGGCCGCGCGGAGUCUGUGGAAUUCCCCGCUCCCCGCAGCCGUGUCCUCAAGAUGGCUGCUCCGCGCGCCGUGCCCGGCCGAGCCGGCGCGAAACCGCGUCUGCCCUCAGCCGAGAUGGCGGCCGCCACUGCCCCUCCGCGCGGAACGGCGGGCGGUGUCUGUGGGGAAGGGUAGCGGGAGGCACCGGCGUUUUCAACAUUACACGUCAAUUAAAAACGGGCAAUUUUUUUUUUUUUUUUUAAUCACGUCGUUUUCUUAGACAACAGAAAUGUGUUAAGAGAAAGCAAAAGCGUGGUUUGGCAGCACUGCCAUGGGGUCCACCCUCAGGGCCUGAGGGGGUCCCCUCAAAGUCUUAAACUAAUGCCACACAACAGAUCUGCUAGUCUAGAACUGAACUGAAUACAUUGUACGUUGCUCUUCACCUUCUCCGAAACUGAAAGGGACAAUAAGUGAAGCUCCUGGAUGGCUGCCAGGUUGUUUACUCUGGAGGCAAGCAAGUAAGCCCAGGCUGGGAGAAAGGGGAGCAGUGACUGCUAAAAGCAGUUAUCCUGUGCAGAGUCAGAAUUUGUUCUUGCCAACAGAAUACCCAGCUCGGGAUAGAAAUAAAAGUUUGCCUUGACAUCUGGCAAAAGCUUCCUUUCAGAGCCAAGCCUCAUUCCUUUUUCUACUGCUGUGCGCUUGAAAUAUUGUUAUUUGGCCAACAGAAUAUGCAGCUCAAAACAGUAACGAAGUCUUUCCUUUACAGCCGGCUGAAAUUUCAUUUCAGAGCCAAGCUUCAAACCUUGUUCUAGUGCUGUGCACUGCGGGUAUUGCUGGUAUUGUCUGGGAAGCAGAAAGUGCAGCUCCAAACAGCGGAAGUUUAAUUGCCAAAGAAAUGACCUUCUCUACUCAACUGUACAAAAGAAGGGAAAAUCUGAAUGCACUGUUAUAAAAGUGUUAAAAGUCAGUCUCCCACCACAGUUUAAAAACACAAAUCAAACCUGUUUUAUUAGUUCAUUAACAGUUUGUAACAACAACAAUCAAAAAAAAAAUUAAAAUACAAAAAAAU